AUGCUCCCGCAGUCGCCGCCUGUGUGUGGACAUCUGUGGGCUGCGUGUGGACAUCUGUGGGUUGCGUGUGGACAUCUGUGGCCUGCAUGUGGACAUCUGCGGGCUGCGUGUGGACAUCUGUGGGCUGCGUGUGGACAUCUGCAGGCUGCGUGUGGACAUCUGUGGUCUGCGUGUGGACAUCUGCAGGCUGCGUGUGGACAUCUGUGGGCUGCGUGUGGACAUCUGCGGGCUGCGUGUGGACAUCUUCACGUGAUCUGUAGGAUGCACUCUCUGUAUACAAUGCUCUGGAUGCACACUGUUCUCGGUAUGCACACGUGGGAUCUGCAUGUUCAUUGUAUGUGCACACAUGGUCUGUAUGUGCAAUGCAUGCACACAUGUGAUCUGCAUGUUCAUUAUAUGUGCAAUGCAUGCACACACCUGAUCUGCAAGUACAAUGUAUGUGCACACAUGGUCUGUGCGUACACUAUGCAUGCGCACACGUGAUCUGUAGGUACACUGAAGUGUGAGGAACAUUUCCCUAGACUUUUUUCGUUACAUGACACCACUUUAAUUUGAGCUGUGUUUGUAGCCUUAUAAUCCGAAAAACCCUGGUACGUCAUUGCCCAAACUCACGAGAAAUUCAUGGAGGUGGCAGUGGUGAGCGGAGGCAAGCGCACUGUGGCUGCACAGAGCCUGCGCCGCACGGUGCUCACGGACUCCCCUGUGUGCACAUCAGGUCGACUGCUGCCCGCCAAGGGCCUGGCGAGCCUGGUGAGCCCCCUCGGGCCAGGGCAGACGGGGCUGCAGCAGGCGUCCAUCCCCGGGGGCUGCAGGGAGGAGCACCCCUGACACCGUACAGCACAGAAUCACCGAGAGUGACCCGCACAGCCCGAGGUCCUGGGGAGGUAGGGGUGGCCUGUCCCCACAGCACAGCCUGGCCCAGCCUGGCACGCACCGGGGUCCCAGGAUGUGGGGUGGCCUGUCCCCACAGCACAGCCUGGCCCAGCCUGCACACACGGGGCCCUGGAUGUGGGUGG
rnacentral:lncRNA from 1 species